rnacentral:rRNA from 1 species
CUGCGGAUGGCCAUGCGGCGCAUUAGCUAGUCGGCGGGGUAACGGCCCACCGAGGCGACGAUGCGUAGGGGUUCUGAGAGGAAGGUCCCCCACACUGGUACUGAAACACGGACCAGACUCCUACGGGAGGCAGCAGUGAGGAAUAUUGGUCAAUGGCCGGGAGGCUGAACCAGCCAAGUCGCGUGAGGGAAGACGGCCCUACGGGUUGUAAACCUCUUUUGUCAGGGAGCAAGAGGCGGGUCGAGACCUGCUGUGAGAGUACCUGAAGAAAAAGCAUCGGCUAACUCCGUGCCAGCAGCCGCGGUAAUACGGAGGAUGCGAGCGUUAUCCGGAUUUAUUGGGUUUAAAGGGUGCGCAGGCGGAGGCACAAGUCAGCGGUAAAAUCGCGGGGCUCAACCCCGCUCCGCCGUUGAAACUGUGUCCCUUGAGUGCGCGAAGGGUAGGCGGAAUGCGUGGUGUAGCGGUGAAAUGCAUAGAUAUCACGCAGAACUCCGAUCGCGAAGGCAGCCUACCGGCGCGCAACUGACGCUCAUGCACGAAAGCGUGGGUAUCGAACAGGAUUAGAUACCCUGGUAGUCCACGCAGUAAACGAUGAAUGCUAUCUGUCCGGCCGGAAUGACGGCUGG